AUUGGACCUCCUCUCUCGUGACCUGUCCUUUUUAAAUCUCCUCUCCUUUCAUCGUUUUGUCCUUUGGCUUGUCAUUUCCGCCUUCACUUCGACGGAGGAGGCUUCCUGUUCUGUUCUUCUGUCGAUCCAUAUCUUAAAAUCUUGGAAGAAGUUACUUUUUAGUUUGAUAUAGAAAGCAUGUCACCUACCGAAUCUUCACGUGAGGAAAAUGUCUACAUGGCCAAGUU
rnacentral:misc_RNA from 1 species